CGUUUUGUGGGGUGCUCGAGUGGCGAACGGGUGAGUAACACGUGAGUAACCUGCCCUUGACUUUGGGAUAACUUCAGGAAACUGGGGCUAAUACCGGAUAGGAGCUCCUGCUGCAUGGUGGGGGUUGGAAAGUUUCGGCGGUUGGGGAUGGACUCGCGGCUUAUCGGCUUGUUGGUGGGGUAGUGGCUUACCAAGGCUUUGACGGGUAGCCGGCCUGAGAGGGUGACCGGCCACAUUGGGACUGAGAUACGGCCCAG
rnacentral:rRNA from 1 species